GGGUACUCUUAUGGAUAUUGAUCACUUGUUCCCUGACAUGAUACAGAGAAAAAUGUCUCAGGUGAGAGAAUGAGACUGUGAGAAAGAUGAGAUGAUUUUAAGAGAAAGAUGCGCUGUUUUUCUGGAAGCAGGAUAAAGGGUUUCUCAGAAAUUUAGGAACCGUUAUAUAUCGAGUUGCUGUAUUGUCUUUCUAGUUCUAGAUCCUGAAUUGGAAUGUACAGCUAAGAAUUGGACGCAGACAACAAAUUUACCGUAGAACAAAAGAGAUGGGAUAGUCUGUACAAGUUUACACGAUGGUAAUAAAAAUCAUGCUUUCCUGCUAUCGCUGUCCAAGUUAAGGGGAAGUAACACAAAUGUGCAGGGCAGCUUCAAAAAUUUAUUGAUAGGGGUGUCUUAAAGAACCUUUUGCUGUUCCAUUCAAGCCUAAAUCUGGGGGCAAUUCAAACGAGUGGAAAGAAUUUCUUCAAAAGCUGAAAGAUUAAGAAACCAAUUACUAGUACAUAUUCUUUACUUGGCCCCUUGCUGGGGAUGCUAGAUCUUUUUUCAGGUUUGGUUAUUUGAUUUUGUUGGAGGAAAACUAAUGCAUGUGCCGUAAAGAAGUAUGAAGCUCUAGUAGAUUUUAACUUGUGAAGUGUGCCUCUGCAGCAUAUAUUAAUUCGAAUCCUAUCUUUGGAGGAGGAAGGAGGAGAGGGGGGGGGGGUGGUGGGGUGAGCAGCCUCCUGUGACAAAUGAUGACAUCCCAUGAAAUUGAUAUUUGCAUUAUCUAUUGGGAUAAUUGCAGAAACCUCCCCUGAGAUAUCUGACAUUUGCACUGACCUCCCUCUCUAGGUUUAGAAAUUGCAUUCACCUCCCCUGAACAGUAACAAUUGGUUGCAGAGACCUCCUUGACAGCUUUUGUAGAAGUGAGAUAAGAAUUUUCUUCCAAUUUUGCCCUUACUUGCUUGACAAUUAUUAUUUGCUUGACAAUUGCUUAACUAAUUAUCUAAUUAGUUAAUAGUUAAACUAAUUAACUAUUAACUAAUUAUCUAAUUAAUUAAUUAACUAACUAACUACUCCCUCCCUUUUUUUAUAACUGACGUUUAAGGUUUUACACACUAAUUAAGAAAAGUUUUUCAAUGCUUAAAUCUGUACACUAUUUUCCUUUUGUACCCUCAUUAAUUGUCUAAUUCAUCCAUGUUUUCUCUCACUAUAGUACUAAAUGGUGCUAUUUUACUAGGCCAAAAGCAAUGCAUGGGAGUGUAUUAAUACCAGAGAGAUAAAAGGGUAAAAUUGUGAAAAAGUAAUUAAUGCUGUAUGGGGAUAAUAAAAUGACAGAUAAAAGUACACUAGAGCAAAUUUCUUAAACGUCAGUUAUAAAAAAAGGGAGAGAGUAAUUAUCUAAUUAACUAAUUAAUUAAAGUUGUUGUCUGUCCGAAACUAACAAACUAUUUGCAUGUUAAACUAAUUAACUGCUUAACUAAUUAACUAACUAACUAAUUAACAAACUAUUUGCAUGUUAAACUAUAUGUAGUACGCAUUACCUAUUUAAAGUAUCGGCUCUUUAAGGGUAUUUUACUUUCAAACAUUUAAUUUAUGAUAAAAACAUCAAUGUUUGUAAAUAAAAUUCAAAAAGUGUUACAGUAAUAUCAAUAUUCUUACAAACAUUUAAUAUUCUUAUAAAAAGGGAGGGGCAUAGGGCCAUAAGUCAUAGCCACCGCCCCAUGCAAAAAGUAUUAGAUGUAUUACAUGCACUUGAAUAUACAGAGCAUACAAGAAAUAAAUAUAGCACAUGAAUGUAUUACACCCAGUCCAAAGGUCCACUUGUAGGACAGGUAGUAUAUUCUCCAGACAAGCAGAUGUACUACACCCACAUGUAUGCAUUCUCCAACGGCUCACUUGAAGGUCAAGUGGUAUGGUCAAGGGUCACACAUGACUAUGACUCUUGAACAUAUCUAUGAUCUUCAUUAAUUUUAUUUUAUUUUUCUAUUUUGAGAGCAAAAGAAAUAAAUAUUCUCGUUAGAAUUUAAAUCAUAAAUUAAUAAAUAAUAUUUGUACUUAGUUCUGACAAAAAUGGCUUACAAUGAAUUCUUGUAUUUAAGAAUUGCAAAAACUUUAAAUUCUUCAUUCAUAAGUUCUUCAUCUACAGAAGAGCAUACAAGAAAUAAACUAAUAUAAUCUUUUGCUAAGAAAUCUCCUAAUAAAUUGCAACUAAAGAUACUUCUAAUUCAAAAUACUUGAAAAUAUCAAAAAACACCAAUUGUUGAACUACUCUAACAAUUAACUAAUAACUUAAUUUAUUAACCAAAUAGACCUAUUCUAAUAUUAAAAAGUUGCAUUGUUUCAAUGGUUUUCCUAGUUUUUUUUUUUAGUCAAAUGGCAACAUCUACUCUACUCCUACUCAUAUUCUAGUCUAUACUAGGGUGAGGGAAGACCCAACUGGAUCAAUUGAGAAACGAUGAGCUUUGAAUCACCAUCGGAUCCGACGGGUGCACUACACACCCAUAUGAAUUUUGGAGAAGCCACAUAUAGUGGCACAACAAUGAUGCGAGGAAAAUUUUGAAUUCUUGACCUCAUAUCCCACCAAAACUUAAAAUCUUUUAUGGGAGACAAAAAGUUUCAAUGGUCUUUCUAGUUACUUUGCUGCUUUUGUUGCAAAUUUAGAAUUGUCUUUUAAAAAUCUUCAAACACAAGACUUUUAUAGAAUAUUUGUAAAUUGAUGAUUAGCCUGGCGAUGAACCACCUGUUUUGGCUUUGUAGGCCAGAUUCUAAAAUAAACGGUGACAUCUUUGACGUAUCCAAAUAACCUCUUUAAAGGUCCAAAAUGGAACAUCUUUCUGUAACAUUUGAACAUGAACAGAAAACUUGCAAGAUGCAAAAUAUUUGCCAAAAUAUAUUUGCUUACAUCAUCAUUACAAUUUCCAACACACCUUUUUAUCUUCCCAAUUACCUUUUUAUCUCACAUACAUCACAUCACAAAAAGUGCUACAGUAAAAAUAUCUCUAAUAAUUCACAAUCCAAACAAACCCUAAGGGUAUUCGACACCUUCCACUUACCAAAAAAAUAAAAAGUUGAUUAAAAACAACUUAACUUAUUAACCAAAUUGGCCUAUUUUAAAGUUAGAAAGUUGCAGAAGAAUUUGCAUUAUUCUAACAAUAAUGUUUGUCAUAUUUCCUGUACGGAAGCUGGAUUAUUCUAACAAUGUUUGUCAUCUUUCCUUUUUCCUUGCUAAUGGCCACGCAUUGAACUCGUGGGUGGAUCACUAAAUAUGGUGCAACAAUACUUGGCAAAAUGACAUUUUGAAAAAUUAAAAUUUGAAACUUAAGUGGGCAAAGCAAGGGACUAGAAAAUGAUGGGAAAUGACCGCGCAUCCUUAGUUGAUAUCCACAAAUUUUCACUACCUUAGGUUGGCUAAAAAUGCAUUAAACAUUAUUAACGUGACGAGGAACAUGGAUAUCACGGCGCUUAAAGCUUAAGGACUUCUUCAAUGGUAAAUCAUUUAUCCGGACCAAGAAAAUCCCUUCCCAUCCAAGAAAUAAAGAAAAGGAAAAUGGACACAAAUUAAAGGACGGUGACAUGAUAUAUACUCCCUCCGUCCCACUUUGAUAGUCCUGUAUUCCUUUUUCAUCUGUCCAAAAUUGUAGUCCACUUUCCAAUUGAAGAAUGUAGUUGUAUUUUAAUUUUCUUAAAAUACCCUUAUUCAAUGUAAGUAGUUGUUACUAUAAACCUACCCCAUUUAAUGAGAGUUGAUUCUUUUUUACCAUCAAUUCAAGUUCUCAUAAAGUUGUACCAUAUUUAAUGUGAGGGUAUUUUAGGAAAAUAGCAAUCUAAAUUUACUUUUCCAACAAAGUUAACUACUUUUUCUUAAAUUGUGUGAAAAAAAAUAGGACUAUCAAAGUGGGACGGAGGGAGUAAGUAGGUCAAGCAACGUGCUGGCGAAAUAAGAUACAAGCGUCAUAAUCAUAACCUGCUCGGUGUUUGAAAUAUGGCGGGCCAGAAAAAAGGACCAGUUUUUCUUCUUCUUCUUUUUCUUUUUAAAUUUUUUUUAUUAAAGGUUGCCGCAUUUUGAAUCCUUGGAGUUCAUAUACUUCUCUAGACGAACGUUUCAUUCCUUGCAAGCAUAAUCCAUUGCCCGCCAAGCAAUUGAAAUCCAAUGCGUACCUCUAUAAGCCAAAUUAUUAAUUCACGACUCAAAAAAAGAAAAAGAAGAGAAAAAGGAGGCUAGAAAAAUGUUCUAAACAGUCCUCAACAUUACAGCGAAGUUGUAUUAAACUAAAUGAAAUACAUUGGAGAAAACAAUAAAAGAAUGAUCAUAUUUUACUUCCGGUGAUCCUUAAUUUACCGAAAAAGGGCAAAAAAAAAACGGAAGUCGAUAUAGACGUACAAAAACAAAAUCAUCAUCUAGGUGAUUAGAGUAGUAUACUUAUGAUUGCACCGUGCAUCCCUGGAACGGCAGCUAGCGCAGACAUGUUGUUGUCCCAAAUCCCAAGUCAAUUAUGCGUACCAGUAGUGAAGGAAUGUCCUUGGCCGGGACUUGGGCCAGAACUCUUGACAGCUUGAAAAAUAAGAAGAAUGUCGUGGAGGCGAUUCCUAUAAGCUCCUUGAGCGUGAUAUGAUGUUGUUUGAGCAUGAUACGGAUGAUGGUACCGAUGGUUUGGGAGAUUAAGACGGCGAGCUUCGAUCGAGGUGACUUGAAGCGAGCUGAAGCACAAGCAUAAGGCGAUAGCAACUACUAUUAGGAGAUUGUUUUGCUGUCUGGUGCCAUGAUCGAUACUCAAAUUAAAUCAGUGAGAAGCUGUUCUUUUUGCUGCAAGAGAGCAGCAAAUUAGAUGUGUAUGAUGUAUGAAGCACUAACUCCCCAGUUGCUAAUUCGUUUUGAUGUAUUUAUACCGAGGCAAAGAUUGUGGCUAAGAUCGUUUGACCAUAUGAGAGAUUGGAACGGAGCGGUGGCAAAAGUGGGCGGUUCAAACACGCUUGGGAUGCUACGGCUGUAUUAAGGAAGCAUGGGUGGAAAAAAUGCACAUACGAGAGACGGAGUCAGGAAGAGGGUUUGAAUUCUAAGGAUGGAAAUUUUCUCGGUGAACGAGGCCGAACUGCGAG
rnacentral:lncRNA from 1 species